AAUGGAGGAAACUCUGAUGCAGCGAUGCCGCGUGAGUGAAGAAGGCCCUUGGGUUGUAAAGCUCUUUCGUCGGGGAAGAAAAUGACUGUACCCGAAUAAGAAGGUCCGGCUAACUUCGUGCCAGCAGCCGCGGUAAUACGAAGGGACCUAGCGUAGUUCGGAAUUACUGGGCUUAAAGAGUUCGUAGGUGGUUGAAAAAGUUGGUGGUGAAAUCCCAGAGCUUAACUCUGGAACUGCCAUCAAAACUUUUCAGCUAGAGUAUGAUAGAGGAAAGCAGAAUUUCUAGUGUAGAGGUGAAAUUCGUAGAUAUUAGAAAGAAUACCAAUUGCGAAGGCAGCUUUAUGGAUCAUUACUGACACUGAGGAACGAAAGCAUGGGUAGCGAAGAGGAUU
rnacentral:rRNA from 1 species